rnacentral:rRNA from 1 species
CGUGUAGGCGGCUUGUUAAGUCGAGUGUGAAAGUCCUGGGCUCAACCCAGGAAGUGCGCUUGAUACUGGCAAGCUAGAGUAUGGGAGAGGGUAGUGGAAUUCCUGGUGUAGAGGUGAAAUUCGUAGAUAUCGGGAGGAACACCAGUGGCGAAGGCGGCUACCUGGACCAAUACUGACGCUGAGACGCGAAAGCGUGGGUAGCAAACA